UUCACUUUGCUGGUUACUUGCACCACGGGAGGAAACUUCAAGGGGGCUCGCUUGGCGACAGGUCCACUUGCUGACAGUGCGGCUUGCCACGGUAUCUACUUUCGGCCUGACCAACCCAAACGCGGUCACCGUCACCUCAUGCGCACUUCGACAGCAAGUUAUCAUACCACAAUAUCAUCUGUGGCGGACAGUUUUUCUUGCUUGGUGUUUCUGUCCCUACAAGUGGAAUGGUUGGAAGCUGACUCGGGAGAGACUCUACACCAGCAAGAAUUUGAGGAUUGAGGAUGCUGUGCUGCAGUGGGGCCAUCAGGCAACCGCUUCCGCUUACCAGGGCCUGACAUUACGGCUUUGUGUGCACUCUUAAGAUGCACCUUCAGGUGUUCUCGUUGCACUGGCAAGAAGUGCACAGCUCGAGCUUGACCCCGGGAUGCAGCAAGAACUUGCGUUUCUGGUGAAACAAGACACCGCAGCAACCAUACACCACGAGUUAAUGCAUGUGAAACCUGAGCAACUACUUCCACGCUCGCCCAUGUACGACAUAUACUCGGGAUCAAAGCCGCGCCGUCGUUCACGCUGCUGCAAUACACUGUCGCAAGCUCUAUUUCUUCUAAUGCAUCAAUUCUCCGUAGAAAAACA